rnacentral:rRNA from 1 species
AUGGUCAAGAAGAAAUCUUCAUGGAGCCAGGUUGUGAGUGGCAGGCCAACAAACCUCUUUGUUCCUGCAAGAAAUCUUCCAGUGCAGGAUCUUGGAGCUGUAAUUUUCGGCUGCACAAACAAUACUAUUGCUGAGUGCCACUCGCGCCAACUUUUUGGCUUGCCAAAAGCACAUCUCUCAUAUGUACACAACAUCAAGGAAGGGCUACCUCUAUUCCUGUUCAAUUAUGAUGAUCGCAGAUUGCAUGGCGUUUAUGAAGCUGCAAGCAAUGGCAAAUUCUGUCCUGAAUCAAAUGCAUGGACAAAUAAUGGCUACGAAAAGACAAGCUAUCCUGCUCAGGUUGCAAUGCGGAUGAGAAUGUGGUGUGUUCCACUAGAAGAGAGUAAAUUCAGGAAUGCUAUUAUAGGCAAUUAUUACCAGAAGACGCCCACUGUCUAUGGCCAGAAGCCUCACUUCUUCAGAUUUGAAUUGGAUCAUGCACAAACACGUGCUUUGAUGGCUAUGUUUACUCCUUCGCCUUCCCCCAUCAAGUUCUGGACGCCUCCUGUUUCACAACCAGGAGCUCAGCAUGUGAGUGAACCAACACCACCUCCUGUGUGGGUACAAAAAUUUGAGGGUAACAAUGAGCUCAAAGCAGAAAAGGUUUUAGUGUCAUAUGCAGAUGCGGUAAAGCAAAGCAAGUUUGAGGUUGAGGGAGUUGGACUAAGAGAUGUGGAUGAUGGGCGGAACAAUGAGUGGAACAAUGAGCGGAACAAUGAGUGGAACAAUGAGUGGAACAAUGAGCGGAACAAUGAGUGGAACAAUGAGUGGAAUAAUGAGCGGAACAACGAGCUCAAACCAGAAAAGGUUUUACCAGAAAAGGGUUUAGUGUCAUAUGCAGACAUGGUAAAGCAGAACAAGUUUGAGGUUGAGGGAGUUGGAAUGGCAGAUGUGGACAAUGGGCAUGCCAGCUCAAGCAAAGAAUCUUCCAAUGGUUUCGAUGAUCUCGACUGCAAAGAGACACCACCAGAGUGGGAGGAUCAUGCACUGUUCAGUAAGGGAGUUGAAGUGCAACAGCAGCAACAAUCUGCCCAGCAGGAAAAUGAGCUUAGCUUCACGUUGGUAUUAGAGAAGCUUAAGGCUCUAUCAGUCCAGCAACUUAGUUCUGAAUUUUAUGCCAAUGGAGCUGGGACUGAAGGCAUUGAUGCAUAUGGUUGUAAGGACAUGCAAGAAGUUAAAGGUACAUUUCUUGAGGGGCACUGUGGUUUGCCGGAGAACUUAGAUACCGAAGUCGAUCAGCUUGCCUGGGAGCAUUCCAGUUUGCUACUCCAAGGAUUGGACUAUGAAUCCUAUUCAGAAGCUAAGUUGAUAGAUGUGGUUAAAGGACUGUCCGAACGUAUAGAGACUAUGGAGAAGAAGCAGAUUAUUUCCAACAAAGAAGUCAAAUGCCUACAAGGAGUGAAUGACAGGUUGCUCAAAAGAGUUGUUGAGCUAAAGAACACAGUGAAGAAUUUGAAUUCGAAAAUAGAUCCUUUAUCUCUAGAUGAUUCACUAAAUCAGUUUGUUGAAGAAUGUUUGGGUUCAGAAGAUGUCAUUUAUCUCAUUGGUGGUUUCGAUGGCAUCUCAUUUUUGUCAUCAUUAGACUCCUUCUCACCCUCCUUGGACAUACUAACACCUCUGAAACCAAUGACUGCUGGGAAGUCCUAUACCUCUGCUGUCGCGUUAGAUGGCAAAAUAUUUGUUCUUGGUGGUGGUGAUGGCGCUUGCUGGUUUGAUACAGUUGACUGUUAUGACCGAAGACGUGAUGAUUGGACCCCAUGCCCAGCACUGACUCAUGGAAAGGGGAGCCUCGCUGGAGUUGGUUUGCAUGGGAAAAUUUAUGCAUUUGGCGGUGGAGAUGGCAUUUGCUGUUUCUCUGACAUGGAGGUGUUUGAUCCUGCUCAGGGAAAGUGGACAAAGAGUCACCCUAUGCUAGAAAAGCGCUUUUCUCUAGCUGGUACGGAACUUAAUGGUGUGAUUUAUGCAGUUGGCGGUUUCAAUGGCGUUCGAUAUCUGAGCUCUGCUGAGAGGCUUGAUCCUAGGGAGCCUAACUGGAAAAUGCUCCCAGCAAUGAGUACAGUAAGAGGUUGUCAUACGGUGGCAGUGCUUGAUGAGAAGAUAUAUGUAAUGGGUGGUUAUGAUGCUGAUGCUGGAGCAAUGGUGUCCACCGUUGAGGUGUACGAGCCAAGAAUGCCGUCAUGGGUGAUGGUGGAACCAAUGAACUACACCAGAGGGUACCACUCUUCAGCUGUGCUUGGUGGCUCGAUAUUCACACUGGGUGGGGUCAAAGGUGAAGCAGAUACAAUCUUGGAUGUGGUGGAGCGCUACAAGGAAGGCUGUGGUUGGGUGAAUACAGGGAUGAAGUCAACCGGCAGCAGAUGCUACUGCUCUGCCAUUGUUCUCUGA